GGGAGAAUGUGCUUACACACUGAUGCUAUUUAAAGCCAUGAGACUGGAUGAAAACAAGGAGGGAGUGAUCCCUUGGGCCCUCCAAACUUUAAAGGUCUCAGAGAGGGGAAGGGACAAAGGAGCAAAGGAGGUUAAGAGUAGCCAGUUCAAUAACAAAAAUACCAUGUGGUGGUCCGAGAAGCCAAAUGAAGAAAUUUCAUAGAGAGAGUAAUGGACUAUGUCAACUGCUACUGUUAAAUAAGAUAAAGACUGAGAACGGACAAUUGUCUUUAACUAUUAGGAAGUCAUCAGUAACCUUGAGAAGGGUUAUUUUGAUAGAGCGACGAAUGCAAAAGUUUGACUGGAAUGAGCUGGAGAGAGAAAGGGAGAAGAGAACCUGAAGAUAAAUGAAGUUUGCUCAGGAUAUGGUCUAUGUUGAGCAAAAGAUAAAAGGUAGCAGCAGCCACCGACAGAAACUUCUGGCAAUCACCACUGAACAAGAUCAGCCCAAAGAAAACACAAUUCCACUAAAUAUUCUUUGAAGCCCGAUGUACCACUAAUCCCACAGUAGGUUUCACAUCCAACACAGAGCCCAGCAUGGAGCCCAGCACGGAGUACAACUGGGAUGAGACCUGAGCUGGGAUCAAGAGUUGGAUGCUCAACUGACUGAGCCACCCAGGCGUCCCUAAAGUUAUUGGUUUUUAAUUUCAUUAAAAUAACCUACCAAUUGAACUUCUCCAAAUGCACCUCUACCAAUCACCUUCACUACUUCAUAAUCUUCAGCUUUCAUUCGUAAAUCUCUAAUUUUAUUUAUUGUGUCUUUAUCUGUAUGAAAAGAAAAGUUUAUAAUUUUAAAUCAUUGAAGCAUUACAGGCAAGUUCUUGAAAAACAAAAAAAUUCAUUGAGAACUAUUUUAUAGUAAAAUGUAAACUUAUAAAAGAGCAAUGUUCAAUGUAUUAAGGAUUGUUUUAAAUAAAUUCUGAAAUGACUUCAUUCUAUUAAAAUAUUUUCAUUAAAAUCUAACUUAAGAAAUGUUUCAGAAAAUAAAUAUACUACUAACACACACUAAGGAAAAUUAGUUAAGUACACAACAAAUUUGAAUUGAGGGAUCACAAGUAAAUACUUUAGAUUAAUGAAAUAAAAUUUUCUUUUUAUCAAGUAAGUUUUGAUGAUCCAAGAAGAUGUAAAUAAGAUAUCCAAGAAAAACAUGCAAAAAAAAAAUCACUUAUAUCAAUACAUUUCUCUAUGUGAAUUCUCUAUUUGAAUUUAGUUUUUAACUUAAAACACAGUGGGAAUCUCUGCAAUUAUUUAUAUAAACCUGUCAUGCUACAAACUACAAUAAUUUACAAAUCCCCACUGGAUAGAUAUUCUAAUUCCUAAUUUGGUCAUAGAUUAAAAUAGGGCUAUUUUAAUCCACAUGGGUCAACACUGGCAUGAGAUUACAUGGAAAAGCUUCACAUUUCAACGUGUACAAAUACAGAACAGCUAUUAAAGUGAAGUUCUAGUUCUUAAUAAAAACUCCAUA